rnacentral:rRNA from 1 species
GAUGAACGCUGGCGGCGUGCCUAAUACAUGCAAGUCGAGCGAACAGACGAGGAGCUUGCUCCUCUGACGUUAGCGGCGGACGGGUGAGUAACACGUGGAUAACCUACCUAUAAGACUGGGAUAACUUCGGGAAACCGGAGCUAAUACCGGAUAAUAUAUUGAACCGCAUGGUUCAAUAGUGAAAGACGGUUUUGCUGUCACUUAUAGAUGGAUCCGCGCCGCAUUAGCUAGUUGGUAAGGUAACGGCUUACCAAGGCGACGAUGCGUAGCCGACCUGAGAGGGUGAUCGGCCACACUGGAACUGAGACACGGUCCAGACUCCCACGGGAGGCAGCAGUAGGGAAUCUUCCACAAUGGGCGAAAGCCUGACGGAGCAACGCCGCGUGAGUGAUGAAGGUCUUCGGAUCGUAAAACUCUGUUAUUAGGGAAGAACAAAUGUGUAAGUAACUAUGCACGUCUUGACGGUACCUAAUCAGAAAGCCACGGCUAACUACGUG